CCUGCCUCUUGAAGCAUUGUAACUGUGAUUGUGUGUCACAUGUGUGUCAGUGGCUGGCAGAUGGUAGAGAGGAUAUGUCUACACUCAGUGUUCUCACCUACACACAUCUCAAUAAUUUACAGUCUAACAUU